rnacentral:rRNA from 1 species
CCCUUUGGGUGUGACUGCGUACCUUUUGUAUAAUGGGUCAGCGACUUAUAUUCUGUAGCAAGGUUAACCGAAUAGGGGAGCCGGAGGGAAACCGAGUCUUAACCGGGCGUUAAGUUGCAGGGUAUAGACCCGAAACCCGGUGAUCUAGCCAUGGGCAGGUUGAAGGUUGGGUAACACUAACUGGAGGACCGAACCGACUAAUGUUGAAAAAUUAGCGGAUGACCUGUGGCUGGGGGUGAAAGGCCAAUCAAACCGGGAGAUAGCUGGUUCUCCCCGAAAGCUAUUUAGGUAGCGCCUCGUGAAUUCAUCUCCGGGGGUAGAGCACUGUUUCGGCUAGGGGGCCAUCCCGGCUUACCAACCCGAUGCAAACUGCGAAUACCGGAGAAUGUUAUCACGGGAGACACACGGCGGGUGCUAACGUCCGUCGUGAAGAGGGAAACAACCCAGACCGCCAGCUAAGGUCCCAAAGUCAUGGUUAAGUGGGAAACGAUGUGGGAAGGCCCAGACAGCCAGGAUGUUGGCUUAGAAGCAGCCAUCAUUUAAAGAAAGCGUAAUAGCUCACUGGUCGAGUCGGCCUGCGCGGAAGAUGUAACGGGGCUAAACCAUGCACCGAAGCUGCGGCAGCGACACUGUGUGUUGUUGGGUAGGGGAGCGUUCUGUAAGCCUGCGAAGGUGGCCUGUGAGGGUUGCUGGAGGUAUCAGAAGUGCGAAUGCUGACAUAAGUAACGAUAAAGCGGGUGAAAAGCCCGCUCGCCGGAAGACCAAGGGUUCCUGUCCAACGUUAAUCGGGGCAGGGUGAGUCGACCCCUAAGGCGAGGCCGAAAGGCGUAGUCGAUGGGAAACGGGUUAAUAUUCCCGUACUUGGUGUUACUGCGAAGGGGGGACGGAGAAGGCUAUGUUGGCCGGGCGACGGUU